UACUGAGGGUUAUUAGGACAGUGGAUGACUGAUAUCUUUGAUUAUUGGCUCAGAGGAAAUAGGGGUGCUAAACCAGCACAUGAUCUGCCCUUGCUGUGGCUACAGAAAAGUGAUAUCUACUUCCACUUUAUGCAGAAAACUUCAUGAAGGAAGUAUAUAUGCUAGGCAACCAGCAAUCUGCAUGCUCCUUACCCUCUUGUCACAGGAGUGAAUAUUUAAAAUUGGUAAGAUAUGUCAAUUGAACUGAAACCCAUUGAAGGUCUGUAUUCUUUACAGAUGACUCCAGGGGCCUUACUCUUGAAUAUUUCGAGUUGCCAAGUGAGACAUAUUGAGGGUAUCACGUGCUGCAAACACAUUACACAAACAGAACACUUUACUCUUGACACUCAACACGCAUCUCACGGCUACUCCUUAACGUGUUGGCAACAGUGUGCUAUAGAAUAACCGAGAUAGCUACACCUGACCCGUUUUAAUUAUUUUUACUCUCUUAAAUAUUAAAAAAUGUUUUUGAGAAUGAAAAUUUGCAAAUAAGUAAAACCAUAUCCAAUUUGUACAAAUUAAAUUUUUUAUUUUUCAUAGUUAUUAAAUUUGGUGCUAAGGUAAAAUAAUAACAUGCAUUUUUAUAUUAUCAUCAAAUUAUAAAAAGAUGUAAGGGGC
rnacentral:lncRNA from 1 species